ensembl:snRNA U6 U6 spliceosomal RNA
UUGUUUUCUUCAUUAGCACAUACAUAAAAACUGGAAGGAUACAGAGAAGAUUAGCUAUGGUGACUGCCUGCACAAGGAUGACGUGCAAAUUCAAGACAUUCCAUAUUUUA